AGAGUUUGAUCCUGGCUCAGGAUGAACGCUGGCGGCGUGCCUAACACAUGCAAGUCGAGCGAUUUACUUCGGUAAAGAGCGGCGGACGGGUGAGUAACGCGUGGGUAACCUGCCCUGUACACACGGAUAACAUACCGAAAGGUAUGCUAAUACGAGAUAAUAUGCUUUUAUCGCAUGGUAGAAGUAUCAAAGCUUUUGCGGUACAGGAUGGACCCGCGUCUGAUUAGCUAGUUGGUAAGGUAACGGCUUACCAAGGCGACGAUCAGUAGCCGACCUGAGAGGGUGAACGGCCACAUUGGAACUGAGACACGGUCCAAACUCCUACGGGAGGCAGCAGUGGGGAAUAUUGCACAAUGGGCGAAAGCCUGAUGCAGCAACGCCGCGUGAGCGAUGAAGGCCUUCGGGUCGUAAAGCUCUGUCCUCAAGGAAGAUAAUGACGGUACUUGAGGAGGAAGCCCCGGCUAACUACGUGCCAGCAGCCGCGGUAAUACGUAGGGGGCUAGCGUUAUCCGGAAUUACUGGGCGUAAAGGGUGCGUAGGUGGUUUCUUAAGUCAGAGGUGAAAGGCUACGGCUCAACCGUAGUAAGCCUUUGAAACUGGGAAACUUGAGUGCAGGAGAGGAGAGUGGAAUUCCUAGUGUAGCGGUGAAAUGCGUAGAUAUUAGGAGGAACACCAGUUGCGAAGGCGGCUCUCUGGACUGUAACUGACACUGAGGCACGAAAGCGUGGGGAGCAAACAGGAUUAGAUACCCUGGUAGUCCACGCCGUAAACGAUGAGUACUAGCUGUCGGAGGUUACCCCCUUCGGUGGCGCAGCU
rnacentral:rRNA from 1 species